rnacentral:tRNA from 1 species
GCCCCCGUAGCUCAAUGGAUAGAGCAUAUCGGUUCUAACGAUGGGGUUGAGCGUUCGAGUCGCUCCGGGGGCACAA